rnacentral:rRNA from 1 species
UAGGGAAUCUUCGGCAAUGGGGGCAACCCUGACCGAGCAACGCCGCGUGAGUGAAGAAGGUUUUCGGAUCGUAAAGCUCUGUUGUAAGUCAAGAACGAGUGUGAGAGUGGAAAGUUCACACUGUGACGGUAGCUUACCAGAAAGGGACGGCUAACUACGUGCCAGCAGCCGCGGUAAUACGUAGGUCCCGAGCGUUGUCCGGAUUUAUUGGGCGUAAAGCGAGCGCAGGCGGUUUGAUAAGUCUGAAGUUAAAGGCUGUGGCUCAACCAUAGUUCGCUUUGGAAACUGUCAAACUUGAGUGCAGAAGGGGAGAGUGGAAUUCCAUGUGUAGCGGUGAAAUGCGUAGAUAUAUGGAGGAACACCGGUGGCGAAAGCGGCUCUCUGGUCUGUAACUGACGCUGAGGCUCGAAAGCGUGGGGAGCGAACAGGAUUAGAUACCCUGGUAGUCCACGCCGUAAACGAUGAGUGCUAGGUGUUGGAUCCUUUCCGGGAUUCAGUGCCGCAGCUAACGCAUUAAGCACUCCGCCUGGGGAGUACGACCGCAGGGUUG